GACGAACCGUGCGAACGUUGUUCGGAAUCACUGGGCUUAAAGGGCGCGUAGGCGGGUGUGCAAGUCUGCGGUGAAAGCCUCCAGCUUAACUGGAGAAGUGCCGUGGAUACUGCUCAUCUUGAGGAGGGUAGGGGCAUCUGGAACGGUCGGUGGAGCGGUGAAAUGCGUUGAUAUCGACCGGAACUCCGGUGGCGAAGGCGAGGUGCUGGACCCUUUCUGACGCUGAGGCGCGAAAGCGUGGGGAGCAAACAGG
rnacentral:rRNA from 1 species